CUGGCUCAGGAUGAACGCUGGCGGCGUGCCUAACACAUGCAAGUCGAACGGGGUUAUGACGCUGAGGAGACUUCGGUCAAAUCUUGUUGUAACUUAGUGGCGGACGGGUGAGUAACGCGUGGAUAACCUGCCAUACACAGGGGGAUAACAGUUAGAAAUGACUGCUAAUACCGCAUAAGCGCCCGAGGGGGCAUCCUCUCGAGUGAAAAGCGAAUACGGGUGUAUGAUGGGUCCGCGUCCGAUUAGCCAGUUGGCGGGGUAAGAGCCCACCAAAGCGACGAUCGGUAGCCGGCCUGAGAGGGUGAACGGCCACAUUGGGACUGAGAGACGGCCCAAACUCCUACGGGAGGCAGCAGUGGGGGAUAUUGCACAAUGGGGGGAACCCUGAUGCAGCGACGCCGCGUGAGUGAAGAAGUUAUUCGUAAUGUAAAGCUCUAUCAGCAGGGAAGAAGCAGACGGUACCUGACUAAGAAGCACCGGCUAAAUACGUGCCAGCCGCAGC
rnacentral:rRNA from 1 species